CCUACGGGUGGCAGCAGUGGGGAAUAUUGCACAAUGGGGGGAACCCUGAUGCAGCGACGCCGCGUGGGUGAGGAAGUAUUUCGGUAUGUAAACUUCUAUCAGCAGGGAAGAAAAUGACGGUACCUGACUAAGAAGCCCCGGCUAACUACGUGCCAGCAGCCGCGGUAAUACGUAGGGGGCAAGCGUUAUCCGGAUUUACUGGGUGUAAAGGGAGCGUAGGCGGUGAUGCAAGUCAGAAGUGAAAGCCCGCAGCUCAACUGCGGGACUGCUUUUGAAACUGUAUGACUAGAUUGCAGGAGAGGUAAGUGGAAUUCCUAGUGUAGCGGUGAAAUGCGUAGAUAUUAGGAGGAACACCAGUGGCGAAGGCGGCUUACUGGACUGUAAAUGACGCUGAGGCUCGAAAGCGUGGGGAGCAAACAGGAUUAGAUACCCCGGUAGUC
rnacentral:rRNA from 1 species